rnacentral:rRNA from 1 species
AGGACGAACGCUGGCGGCGUGCUUAACACAUGCAAGUCGAGCGGUAAGGCCUUUCGGGGUACACGAGCGGCGAACGGGUGAGUAACACGUGGGUGAUCUGCCCUGCACUCUGGGAUAAGCCUGGGAAACUGGGUCUAAUACCGGAUAUGACCUGCUCUCGCAUGGGGGUGGGUAGGAAAGAUUUAUCGGUGCAGGAUGGGCCCGCGGCCUAGUCAGCUUGUUGGUGGGUAAUGGCCUACCAAGGCGACGACGGGUAGCCGACCGUGAGGAGGGUCGACCGGCCACACGUGGGACUGAGACACGGCCAGACUCCGUACGGGAGGCAGCGAGGUGGGAAUAGUUG